UACGUAGGGGGCAAGCGUUGUCCGGAUUUACUGGGCGUAAAGAGCGUGUAGGCGGCCAAACAGGUUCGUUGUGAAAACUGGAGGCUUAACCUCCAGACGUCGACGGAAACCGUAUGGCUAGAGUCCGGAAGAGGAGAGUGGAAUUCCUGGUGUAGCGGUGAAAUGCGCAGAUAUCAGGAAGAACACCAAUGGCGAAGGCAGCUCUCUGGGACGGUACUGACGCUGAGACGCGAAAGCGUGGGGAGCGAACAGG
rnacentral:rRNA from 1 species